rnacentral:rRNA from 1 species
GAGCUGACUUUAGUACGAGAGGACCGAGUCGGACGAACCUCUAGUGUACCUGUUGUGGCGCCAGCUGCAUCGCAGGGUAGCUAUGUUCGGUUGGGAUAAGUACUGAAAGCAUAUAAGUACGAAGCCCACCUUAAGAUGAGAUUUCUUUCAAGGGUCGUUCGAGACUAGGACGUUGAUAGGCUACAGGUGUAAAGGCAGCAAUGUCAUAGCCGAGUAGUACUAAUUACCCGUAGAUUUUUUACC